rnacentral:lncRNA from 1 species
UUGUGCUUAAUUGUUCGCAAAUGUGUGUUCAAGCAUGUUCAUUAUGUGUAUAGUAUUAUAACUAUCAUUCUUCGAUUUUAUUUAGAAACAUAAUAUACCUAGUUCAAUAGAAAGCAUGAGCCUGUCAUUAAUAGAAAUAAAUAAGCAUACAUAUAUAUUUCCUUUAUUGCAUAUUUUUCCCUAGUUGUAGCACUGACAUUUUUAUAACAAUUUUUGUCUUACAUCUUUCAUUCCUUACAAUUUGCACUAUUGACAUAAUUGUCCAUACAAUGAAAAGCCUAGAUAAUUGAGCAUAAAACAAUGAUAGAGAUGCUUUAGUAGAAAAUAUUGAAGAAUAGCAAUAUAAAUAGUGGGAACUAAUAUUUUGAUCUAGGAGGAUUACCAAACUCGAUAUCGACCACUUUGACCACUACAGGGAGAAUUGGACAAGAUCCAGAAGUGAGAUCUGACACAUCGAGAAGCCGAAUCGCAUGCCAAACUUUUGAAGACCAUAACUUGCUCGUACAACGUCCAAUUAAGGUGCUCUUUUUUAAACCCCCCCUUCCUUAAGGGUGCUGCACACCUAAGAAUCAAUGCCCAAUUCCACUAUUUGGACUCCAAAAUGGGCUGAUCAAAGAAAAAAUUUCUUUCUCGAGAAAGACUUUAAUUGAGCAUAUCUUCCAAUCUUGCAAGAAUUAAGCCAAGUGGCUGUAGGCAAAAUCGACAUAGAAGUUGAGAUCUACCUUCCACAGGAUUUUAGUUUUUUCGUGAUUAUUUCCACUACUCAUGUUUAUUUCAAGAGAGUUGUAUCCUCUUUUAACUAGAAGAGAAAUCUAACCAGAAUUGUACAAGGACAGACCUCACUAGCAUAAAUAGAGAUUAUGUAACUCAAUUUGUUAUGGAUCAAUGAAAGAAAAGCGGACAUGAAACCUUUUCAAUCUUUAAAAUGUAAAAAAAAAAUUCAUUCAUCAUUAUUGUAUUUAUUCUGACCUCCAUUCAUCAUUAUUGUAUUUAUUCUAACCUCCAUACUUAGAUCGAGAUAUUGGAUAUAGAAUGCCAAUCUUUAAAAUGUAAAAAAAAAAAGUAAUUAGCUAUGACAUGUUCACUAUAAAAAAACUUCCUAAAUUUUUUCCAAGAGGCUCCAGUUGAAUAGGUUGAAGGAAUUAUUUCUUCUCACUAAUCAGUUCAUAUUUUAAGGAAAAAACGCAACUUUAUUACCAUGCUAGAGGUACUCCCUCACACACCAAAACAUAGAGACACAUGCCUCUCUAUUAAACUAAACUUGCUACCAAACUAUGCAGGGAGGAAGAUAUGUUAGAAAAAUCUCAAUGGUAAAGAAAGUUACAUGAUGUAUAACAAUCAAAUACUGCACACAGU